UUAAAGGUAUUUUCCGGUAGACGAUGGGGAUGCGUUCCAUUAGAUAGUAGGCGGGGUAACGGCCCACCUAGUCAACGAUGGAUAGGGGUUCUGAGAGGAAGGUCCCCCACAUUGGAACUGAGACACGGUCCAAACUCCUACGGGAGGCAGCAGUGAGGAAUAUUGGUCAAUGGGCGAUGGCCUGAACCAGCCAAGUAGCGUGAAGGAUGACUGCCCUAUGGGUUGUAAACUUCUUUUAUAAAGGAAUAAAGUCGGGUAUGCAUACCCGUUUGCAUGUACUUUAUGAAUAAGGAUCGGCUAACUCCGUGCCAGCAGCCGCGGUAAUACGGAGGAUCCGAGCGUUAUCCGGAUUUAUUGGGUUUAAAGGGAGCGUAGAUGGAUGUUUAAGUCAGUUGUGAAAGUUUGCGGCUCAACCGUAAAAUUGCAGUUGAUACUGGAUGUCUUGAGUGCAGUUGAGGCAGGCGGAAUUCGUGGUGUAGCGGUGAAAUGCUUAGAUAUCACGAAGAACUCCGAUUGCGAAGGCAGCCUGCUAAGCUGCAACUGACAUUGAGGCUCGAAAGUGUGGGUGUCA
rnacentral:rRNA from 1 species